rnacentral:tRNA from 1 species
GGUGCUCAUUGGUAGAGCGCUUGCCUUGUAUGCAUGAGGCCCUGGGUUCAAUUCCUCAGCACCA